rnacentral:rRNA from 1 species
AGAGUUUGAUCCUGGCUCAGGAUGAACGCUAGCUACAGGCUUAACACAUGCAAGUCGAGGGGCAGCAUGUUGGUUGCUUGCAACCAAUGAUGGCGACCGGCGCACGGGUGAGUAACGCGUAUCCAACCUACCCUUGUCCAUCGGAUAACCCGUCGAAAGGCGGCCUAACACGGUAUGCGGUUCUCAGCAGGCAUCUAACGAGAACGAAAUGUGAAGGAGAAGGAUGGGGAUGCGUCUGAUUAGCUUGUUGGCGGGGUAACGGCCACCAAGGCGACGAUCAGUAGGGGUUCUGAGAGGAACGGUCCCCCACAUUGGAACUGAGACACGGUCCAAACUCCUACGGGAGCA